CGGGGUGAGUAACGCGUGGGCAACCUGCCUUAUACAGGGGGAUAACAGCUGGAAACAGCUGCUAAUACCGCAUAAGCGCACAGCGGCGCAUGACGCAGUGUGAAAAACUGAGGUGGUAUAAGAUGGGCCCGCGUCUGAUUAGCUGGUUGGGAGGGUAACGGCCUACCAAGGCGACGAUCAGUAGCCGGCCUGAGAGGGCGGACGGCCACAUUGGGACUGAGACACGGCCCAGACUCCUACGGAAGGCAGCAG
rnacentral:rRNA from 1 species